CUUCCAAUCUGUAACGGGCGACGAACCCUAACCGAACCCUUCAAUUUCAAGAUUACUCUUCAAUAGAAGGCGAAUUUAAGGAGAAAAAAAUCACGAAUCUAUGGCCUUCUCAUAUCCAUCUUUCCGAUUUCUGUUAUCAAUUUCUCAUCUCAAAUUUUUGAGAUUAAAUUCUUAAAAAACCGGCAGCUUUCGAUCACUUUUUCACUGCAAUUUGUCUGAUCCAGUUCGAAUGGAGUAUCAAUUCAAUCUCUUCAACACGUCAAAUGCAACCCACCAAAGGUGGGCUUCUCAGCCAACCAGGAAAACUUCAAGUGCUUGCGAUCAGCGGAAGAAGGAAAGUCAAAUGCUGUCACAGUUCGAGUGACAAGGAAAUGGGAAGAGGUUAUCGUUGACGAGGAGGCGGAGCAAAUCAAAGAUAUUUCCAAGGAAGCUUGAAUUAUUUGAUCCUGGAUGUGAAAGAAGAUGCAGAAGCCUUAUAUAAAGUAGAAUGCAUGACUAUUCAUGGAGCAUCUUAUAAAUUUUUUCCAACUGGAGAGGCUAUAAUUAUUCUAAUGUCAUUGGUGGUGAAUGAUAAAGUGGAGCUAACGCCAUAUCUUUCCAUGAUAAAGGCAGCUCCGAACUGGGAUCACCUGCCUUUCAACAUCUUUGGAUUCUUCAUGGGAUUGACUGUUAGCCAUGACGCACAACCCGAAACUCCACUAUAUUGUAGGUCACUAACUGUUAUUUUGAAGGUUGGAAGGAUAUAAUUAUAUUUACAAUAACACUUUCAUCAAGGGAGUAAAAUAUAUGGGUGAAGAGAUUCAAAGCUUCAAAGCGACAGGUUGCCUUGCUGAUGGUUGGAAAAGUAAUAGUAAGUUUGAAUUCAACAAAGUGAUUGGGACAUCAGAUUCGUGGAGGAAUUCCAUGAGUGACCACAGCGAAGAACAAAUCAGGAAAGUGCUCACUGGGUUCAACCAAUGCGGCACAGCCUACCCACGAUCGGCAUGCGACGCAGGAAUGUAUUGCAAGUAAAUUUCCAAGAGUAGGCAAAUUGAGCGCAUGUAAAUAUCUAGCAGCCCUACACAUAGUAAUAAAUGUAAUAUGAUAUAUUCAUAAAAGUGCAUUUAAACAUACUCAGUCUUAUUUCCAUGUUUAUAUUCAUGUUGUAUACUAAAGUCCUCUUAAGUUAUUGACACGGAGUAAGAACUCAGUUUUACACUGGAAUGUGAAUACCCGCUGUAAAGCUCCAUGAAUAUGAGAAAAAAUGAAAGAAAAAUUGUAAAUUUGA